rnacentral:rRNA from 1 species
GAACGAACGCUGGCGGCAUGCCUAAUACAUGCAAGUCGAACGAACUCUUCGGAGUUAGUGGCGCACGGGUGCGUAACGCGUGGGAAUCUGCCCUUGGGUUCGGAAUAACAGUUGGAAACGACUGCUAAUACCGGAUGAUGACGAAAGUCCAAAGAUUUAUCGCCCAGGGAUGAGCCCGCGUAGGAUUAGCUAGUUGGUGAGGUAAAGGCUCACCAAGGCGACGAUCCUUAGCUGGUCUGAGAGGAUGAUCGACACCACUA